rnacentral:rRNA from 1 species
UACGUAGGGUGCAAGCGUUGUCCGGAAUUAUUGGGCGUAAAGAGCUCGUAGGUGGCCUGUCGCGUCGGCUGUGAAAACUCAGGGCUUAACCCUGAGCUUGCAGUGGGUACGGGCAGACUAGAGUGCGGUAGGGGAGACUGGAAUUCCUGGUGUAGCGGUGAAAUGCGCAGAUAUCAGGAGGAACACCGGUGGCGAAGGCGGGUCUCUGGGCCGUAACUGACGCUGAGGAGCGAAAGCAUGGGGAGCGAACAGGA